UACGUAGGGUGCAAGCGUUGUCCGGAAUUAUUGGGCGUAAAGAGCUCGUAGGCGGUUUGUCGCGUCUGCUGUGAAAACGCGAGGCUCAACCUCGCGCCUGCAGUGGGUACGGGCAGACUAGAGUGUGGUAGGGGAGAUUGGAAUUCCUGGUGUAGCGGUGGAAUGCGCAGAUAUCAGGAGGAACACCGAUGGCGAAGGCAGAUCUCUGGGCCAUUACUGACGCUGAGGUGCGAAAGCGUGGGGAGCAAACAGG
rnacentral:rRNA from 1 species